rnacentral:lncRNA from 1 species
AAAUACAUUGAUGUGUGUGUGUGUGUGUGUGUGAUAUCUGUAUAUAUACCAUGUGUAUAUACUGAUGUGUGUAUACGUAAAGUGCAUAACUGUUUAUAUACAGUGCACUAAUAUAUAUAUUUUUAUAUACAUUGAUGUGUAUGAUCAUAUAUACACUUAUUAUCAAUUUAUACAGUUACGAACGUAUAUGUACACUGAUUUAUAUACUACACCCACACACACUCACACUCUUACACAUACACACACACAUACACACUCACUCACACACACACACACUCACUCACACACACACAUUCACACUAACACUCACACACACUCACACUAACACUCACACUCCUAGAUAUAUAUAAUACACAUAUGUGUAUGUUAUAUAUGGACUGAUGUGAGUAUUUGUACGAUAUGUAUAAACUGAUAUGUUUAUACGUGUAUAUAGUUGCUUGUUAUCAGUUAUAUACAAUUAUGAAUGUAUAUAUACACUGCUAUGCUCAUGCACAUGCACCCCUACCUCCUUGAUAAGUGCAUAUAUACUGUGUAUAUAUACACUAGUACAUGCAUUCUAUAUACACUGAAAUAUGUGACCAUAUAGACACUUGGUAUAUAUAUAUAUAGGCCUAAGGCACAACUUUAUAGGGCUUCAACUGUCCAUGAUAUAUGACUCUAUACUGUUUAUUAUAUGGUCCGUGAUGUAGGACUCUAAAAUGCCUAUAACUAGGUCCACAACAUAUGAUCUAAAGCAUUAUCACAUACUUCAUGUAUGACUAUAAAUAGAUACACAUAUAUAUAUAUAUUUGUACUACACAGAUAUAUAUAUAUAUACUACACAUAUAUGCGUGUUGUGUAUAGACUGAUGUGUGUAUAUAUAUGAGAUGUUUGUUCUAAUAACUGUAUAUAUCACUGAAAAUAAGUAUAGACAGUCUUAUAAUUUAGUAUUUGUAUGAACACCUUAUACAUAUGCAUAUGACUAUGCGUUGAUAUGUACAUAUACGCUAAUAACUGUAUAAACUGAUAAUAAGUGUCCAUAUAUAUCAGUGUAUCUAGAAAUGUAUGUAUGAACUUAUCAUUGCGUAAAGAUGCAUAUGCGUGCGCAUAUCGACGUAUAUAUAACUAAUAGCAAGUGUAAACACACGUAUAAACAUCAUUGUACAUAAAUCAGUGUAUAUAUACACAUUAAUAGCUGUAUAAACAUCAUUAGUGUCUGUAUAUAUGGUCAUAUAUGUCAAUGUAUAUAUAAAUGUAUAUAUUAAUGCACUAUAUAGAUACAGUUAUGCACUUUACACACACACACAUGAAUGUAUUUUUUAAACACUAAUAACUGUAUAUAUAGCGGAUAAAAAGUGUCUAUAUGGUCGUAUUUAUCAAUCAGUUAUGUACGUAUGUACUACCAAUGCAUAAGGGUGCAUGUGUGUGUACAUAUCAGUGUAUAUGUAACUGAUAGUAAGUUUAUACAUACACACAUAAACAUAUCAGUAUAUAUGUAUCUUAUAUAUACAUGCUGUAUAUAUCUAUAUAAACUGCUAAUAAAUGUCUCUAUAGUCAUAUAUAUUAAUGUAGAUAGAAUGCAUGUAUCAGUGUACACAUACAAGACAUUAGUUAUCUGCUAUAUAUAAAGGGUUAUUAGUGUGUAAAAAAUACAUUGAUGUGUGUGUGAUGUCUGUUUAUAUACGAUGUGUAUUUAUUGAUAUGUAUGUAUAAAGUGCAUAAUUGUCUAUAUACAGUGCACUAACAUAUACAUUUAUGUAUAUGGCUAUAUAUACACUUACUAUCACUUUAUACAGUUACUAACGUAUAUGUAUACUGAUUUAUAUACUACUCACACACACUUAGACUCAAACUCACUCACACUCACGCACACACACACACUCACUCACACACACUCACUUACUCACUCACACUCACACUCACAGUCGCAGUCGCAGUCGCAGUCCACGUCACACUCAUACUCACACUCGCAGUCGCAGUCACACUCACACUCAUACUCACAGAUAUAUAUACUAUACAUAUAUGCGUAAUGUGUAUGGAUUGAUAUAUAUACUACACAUAUAUGCGUAUUGUGUAUGGAUUGAUGUGUGCAUAUAUACGAUAUGUAUAUAUUGAUAUAUGUACACUGAUAUUUAUAUAUGUACACUCAUAUGUACAUGUAUAAAGGGUUUAUAUAUACACUAAUAUAUAAGACCAUGUAUUAUUAUUAUCAGUGAUAUAUACAAUUAUUAUAACAAUUUGUACG